CUUCUUCUUCUUCUUCUUCUUCUUCAAUCAAUAUUUUUCUUUUGGAUCCUCGAUCUAUGAAAAUUUAGAAAUCUCAGCUAAACCUCACUUCCCUAGCGAAGAAUUCUCCUGCAGUCCUAUAAUCUGGAUCUUACACCUACAAUCCUUGCAAGAAGAACAAGGAUUCUACGAAAUGGACGCUCGGAAAAAAAUGUAAUUACAAA
rnacentral:misc_RNA from 1 species